UCUACCCUUCCGUCCGGGAUAACUAGCCGAAAGGUUAGCUAAUACCAGAUACACUCAUCGAACGGCAUCGUUUGAUGAUGAAAGCAGCAAUGCGCGGAUUGAGGAGCCUGCGGCCCAUUAGCUAGUUGGUGAGGGUAAUGGCCCACCAAGGCAACGAUGGGUAGCUGGUCUGAGAGGACGACCAGCCACACUGGGACUGAGACACGGCCCAG
rnacentral:rRNA from 1 species